CAUAUGAGUUGUGGGAGCAUCCACAUGUGUGUGUAUGUGUUUGCACAUGUGCACACGUAUUUCCUAGCUCUGUUCACUGAAAAGGUUUAGAAACCAUGACCGACCCAGUAGCAAUGGGCAUCCCUCGUGCCCAGAUGUGGCUUUGAAACACCAUUUUUCCACUAACGAGAAAGGGCUAUUUCUAGGUUUGGGAUGGGCAAUGUACAAGAUGUGUCUGGAACACCUUGCUAUACCAGAUAAUGAGAAAGCUCUUGAAGACCACCAGGAUCAUGUUGAAAACACUCGGGUCAACUCAAAGAGGCUUCCACUGGCUGAUGAGGGGGAAAUUUGAGCUUCAGAAAGGAUAAUAAAUGUAAUCAUUAUGAAACCCAUCAAAUAAAUUGAAAUCCAUGACUUCAUAAUGAUAUCUUAAAAAUUGAUCUCCUUCAGAGGAUAAUAGGAAAAUAAUCCAUUUUUUUUGUGAAAAUUAGUAAAUGAAAAGAAAGAAUCAAACAUUUAUUCUACUUCUGCUAAGUGAACGUGCCACUGAGUAAUCAAAUAGUAGAUGAGGGAAAGCAAAUUUUUAGAAAAGUGUUCCAGUGGACGAAUUAAUAAAUGGAAAAGAAAUGAUAGAACUAGAAUGUUACCAUUUUGCAACCCCCUUUGAAUGAAUAGAUCUUGGCAUCAAGCAUCAACAGCUGCUAUUAUCACAACAAGAGAGACAAUCAGACACUGCAUGUCUCAUGGUGAAAGAACAAAUCACCAUCUAGAAUCUUGCCAAAAGUUCAAACCUGAGGCUGAUCAAGUCUCUGGAUCCAGCUCCCAUUUGCAGGAAAUAGAGAAGACAGAGGACAAUCAGUAUACAAUCAGCAAAGGCCAAAUGGUGGGAAGUCUACCAGUCAAGUACCCAGGUAAGUCGGAAAAAAGAAAGGGAUGGAGGAGAGACCCUGUAGAAUAUAAGAGAAUUAAAAGACACGUCGAAUUUACAAAUGGGUAAAGCUACACUAUAGUGUUUAGGAAUGCAUGCCUAGAUGAUAAAACCACAAGAAACACAAGGAAUGGUUACUUAACACUUCAGGGAAGUGGUUAGUUUUGUGAGAAGGAAGCCAUAUUGAGCAGAAUGAGACACAGAAGGGACUUUGGGGUUGCCGUGCAAAGUUCCAUGUCUUGACCUGGACAGUGGUUGCUAAGGUGUUCACCUUUUAGCAAUGAAUUGGGCUAUUAAUUCACUUUGUGUGGUUUUCUUAAUCUAUGUUUUAUUUUAUAAUGGAAAGGGUUAAGAGAGUAGAAGAAAAGAAGAAGAGCAAUUUUUAAAUUUAUAUUUUAUGAAUGCCACAAAGGGCUUAACUAGUGAAGAGCAGCAGUUUGUGUCAAGACAUUAUCAUGGAAUGGUAAUGAGUGUGAGCUCUGAGCCACCCUGGUGGGGUCUGAAUUGCAGCUUUGCCACUUACCAGCUGUUUAACCCUGGGAAAAUCACUCAGCCUCUCUGUUUCAGUUUUCUCUUCUGUAAAGUGGAUAUCGUAAUAGUUCCCACUUCAUAGUGUCAUCAUAAGGUUUACAUGAGAUGAUAACAUGAACAUUGAGAAUACUGCCAGGCAUAUAAUAAGGGCUCAAUACAGCUAUGUUGUUCCUUCUUACUUUUUGCCUUUCUCUCCCAUUCGUUUUCCUCAAACUUUGUAGCACUAUCUCUUCCUUAAAAUCCUGUGGAGUAGGGUGGGGAGUCCUCCACUAGUCCUAGCCUGUGUCUCUCUUGUCCUUCUAUCCUCUGUUCCUCAUUCUGGAUUUAAAUACCCCCAGGGAGAAAUCUGAAAAGACAGGGAAGGAAAGAUCCCAGCUGGGCACUCAGAACCUAUUUAGAGAUGAGAAAGAGGGAAAGAGACUUUUCUUGAAUCCACAGCGCUAGAACAGUGCCUGAUCCAGAGCAAGCACGUAGCAGACAUUUGCUGAAAGGAUGAAAAAAAGAACUUGUAGAACAUGAUUUAAAAAGCACUGCUCAAGCAUUUCUCUUUUGGAUGAAGAGUUUGAAGUAGUCCAUGACUUUAUUUUUGCCUUUGUCCUGCCUAGCUAUUUUUCUUCCCUGCUGCCCCAUUUUGGUGUUCAUGUCUUGGUAUGAGUCAAAUAGUCGAAAUGUAGUAUCUGUUGGCAAAACAUACAUAUUGCACUGUUCUUUAUUCAGAAAGCCACAUGUGGACUCCAGCCCUAUGCCUACCAACCAUCUUGUCACUGUCACUCGGAGCUCCUUCCUGCCCAGCAGAUGUGUCCACCCUGUCCUUCUUCCUCUAAUGUUUUUCCUGUCAUUGUUCCCAUACCUGACUCCCUCCCAUCCUGUGUUCCAGUGUAGAUGAGCCUAUUGCAGCAAAGCCUUUGUGUACCAUCCUCCCAUAGGUAAAUUUCCCCAUCCACUGAUUAUUUCCCUCCUGUUUCCUUCAAAGCACUUACCACGUAUCUACCCACAGAUGAAUAUUUGUGGAGGAGUCCAUGGCCUUGACAACAAAUGACCAAACACGCACUACAAGAAUGGAAGCAUGAAUGGAAGUUGAUUUGUUUCUUGUCUCCUGCAUAGCUUCAUGAAGAGAAUCCAGCCAGGACUGUGAAGCCCCAGGGAAUGGCUGCACUUCAAGUCAGAAGGAGCCUGGGUCCCUGAAUCAUCGUGUAGAAGGCUCUCCACCCAACUCAAUGGUGCAAUGGACCACAAGCAAGAACUUAAUUUAGAAUGUGCUUAUUUUGUUAGAUUUGGUAAUUAAAAAAUUGAUCCCACUCUGA